rnacentral:rRNA from 1 species
AAUGAACGUUGGCGGCGUGGAUUAGGCAUGCAAGUCGAGCGCGAAACGUAGCAAUACGUGGAAAGCGGCGAAAGGGAGAGUAAUACAUAGGUACGUACCCUUGGACCUGGGAUAGCGGCGGGAAACUGCCGGUAAUACCAGAUAAUGUCUCCGGACCAAAGGUGUGAUUCCGUCUGAGGAGCGGCCUAUGUCCUAUUAGCUAGUUGGUAAGGUAACGGCUUACCAAGGCAAAGAUGGGUAUGGGGUGUGAGAGCAUGCCCCCACUCACUGGGACUGAGACACUGCCCAGACACCUACGGGUGGCUGCAGUCGAGAAUCUUCGGCAAUGGACGCAAGUCUGACCGAGCGACGCCGCGUGCGGGAUGAAGGCCUUCGGGUUGUAAACCGCUGUCGUAGGGGAGGAAAUGCAGGUGGGUACUCCCAUCUGCUUGACUGAUCCUAGGAGGAAGGACCGGCUAAUCUCGUGCCAGCAGCCGCCGUAACAC